ACGGCUCAGUAACACGUGGAUAACCUGCCCUUGGGUCCGGCAUAACCCCGGGAAACUGGGGAUAAUUCCGGAUAACGCACAUAUGCUGGAGUGCUUUAUGCGUAAAAUGGAUUCGUCUGCCCAAGGAUGGGUCUGCGGCCUAUCAGGUAGUAGUGGGUGUAAUGUACCUACUAGCCAACAACGGGUACGGGUUGUGAGAGCAAGAGCCCGGAGAUGGAUUCUGAGACAUGAAUCCAGGCCCUACGGGGCGCAGCAGGCGCGAAAACUUUACAAUGCGGGAAACCGUGAUAAGGAGACACCGAGUGCCAGCAUCAUAUGCUGGCUGUCCGGGUGUGUAAAAUACACCUGUUAGCAAGGGCCGGGCAAGACCGGUGCCAGCCGCCGCGGUAACACCGGCGGCCCGAGUGGUGAUCGUGAUUAUUGGGUCUAAAGGGUCCGUAGCCGGUUUGGCCAGUCCUCCGGGAAAUCUGACGGCUCAACCGUUAGGCUUUCGGGGGAUACUGCCAGGCUUGGAACCGGGAGAGGUAAGAGGUACUACAGGGGUAGGAGUGAAAUCUUGUAAUCCCUGUGAGACCACCUGUGGCGAAGGCGUCUUACCAGAACGGGUUCGACGGUGAGGGACGAAAGCUGGGGGCACGAACCGGAUUAGAUACCCGGGUAGUCCCAGCCGUAAACGAUGCUCGCUAGGUGUCAGGCAUGGCGCGACCGUGUCUGGUGCCGCAGGGAAGCCGUGAAGCGAGCCACCUGGGAAGUACGGCCGCAAGGCUGAAACUUAAAGGAAUUGGCGGGGGAGCAC
rnacentral:rRNA from 1 species